CACGAACCGUACGUACGUUAUCCGGAAUUACUGGGCGUAAAGCGUGCGUAGGCGGCGUGGUAAGUUGGAAUUGAAAGCCCGGGGCUCAACCCCGGAUCCGGUUCCAAAACUGCUAUGCUCGAGCGUAUCAGAGGACAGCGGAAUUCCCGGUGUAGCGGUAAUAUGCGUAGAUAUCGGGAGGAACACCAGUGGCGAAGGCGGCUGUCUGGGGUAUUGCUGACGCUGAGGCACGAAAGCCAGGGGAGCGAACGGG
rnacentral:misc_RNA from 1 species